GAUAAACGCUGGCGGCGUGCUUAACACAUGCAAGUCGAACGAAGUUUUUCCUUCGGGAGACACUUAGUGGCGGACGGGUGAGUAACGCGUGGGUAACCUGCCCUGUACAGGGGGACAACAGCUGGAAACGGCUGCUAAUACCGCAUAAGCACUUAGCACUGCAUGGUGCAUAGGGAAAAGGAGCAAUCCGGUACAGGAUGGACCCGCGUCUGAUUAGCCAGUUGGCAGGGUAACGGCCUACCAAAGCGACGAUCAGUAGCCGAUCUGAGAGGAUGUACGGCCACAUUGGGACUGAGACACGGCCCAGACUCCUACGGGAGGCAGCAGUGGGGAAUAUUGCACAAUGGAGGAAACUCUGAUGCAGCGACGCCGCGUGAGUGAAGAAGUAUUUCGGUAUGUAAAGCUCUAUCAGCAGGGAAGAAAAUGACGGUACCUGACUAAGAAGCACCGGCUAAAUACGUG
rnacentral:rRNA from 1 species